rnacentral:rRNA from 1 species
AUUGAACGCUGGCGGCAGGCCUAACACAUGCAAGUCGAACGAGUGGCGGACGGGUGAGUAAUGUCUGGGAAACUGCCUGAUGGAGGGGGAUAACUAAUGGAAACGGUAGCUAAUACUUCAUACCUCCAGUUGUGCCCAGAUGGGAUUAGCUUGUUGUUGGGUUACCGGCUUACAAAGGCGACGAUCCCUAGCUGGUCUGAGAGGGUGACCAGCCACACUGGAACUGAGACACGGGCCAGACUCCGACGGGAGGCAGGAGUGGGGAAUAUUGCACAAUGGGCGCAAGCCUGAUGCAGCCAUGCCGCGUGUAUGAAGAAGGCCUUCGGGUUGUAAAGUACUUUCAGCGGGGAGGCGUUACCCGCAGAAGAAGCACCGGCUAACUCCGUGCCAGCAGCCGCGGUAAUAC